CUCAACCUGGGAACUGCAUUCGAAACUGGCAGGCUUGAGUCUUGUAGAGGGGGGUAGAAUUCCAGGUGUAGCGGUGAAAUGCGUAGAGAUCUGGAGGAAUACCGGUGGCGAAGGCGGCCCCCUGGACAAAGACUGACGCUCAGGUGCGAAAGCGUGGGGAGCAAACAGGAUUAGAUACCCUGGUAGUCCACGCCGUAAACGAUGUCUACUUGGAGGUUGUGCCCUUGAGGCGUGGCUUCCGGAGCUAACGCGUUAAGUAGACCGCCUGGGGAGUACGGCCGCAAGGUUAAAACUCAAAUGAAUUGACGGGGGCCCGCACAAGCGGUGGAGCAUGUGGUUUAAUUCGAUGCAACGCGAAGAACCUUAC
rnacentral:rRNA from 1 species